rnacentral:rRNA from 1 species
UAAGGAAUAUUGGUCAAUGGACGCAAGUCUGAACCAGCCAUGCCGCGUGGAGGAUGAAGGCCCUCUGGGUUGUAAACUUCUUUUAUUUGGGAAGAAACCCAUCUUUUCUAAGGUGGUUGACGGUACCAGAUGAAUAAGCACCGGCUAACUCCGUGCCAGCAGCCGCGGUAAUACGGAGGGUGCAAGCGUUAUCCGGAUUUACUGGGUUUAAAGGGUGUGUAGGCGGGCUUUUAAGUCAGUGGUGAAAUCUCCGGGCUCAACCCGGAAACUGCCAUUGAUACUAUUAGUCUUGAAUUUUGUUGAGGUAGGCGGAAUGAGUCAUGUAGCGGUGAAAUGCAUAGAUAUGACUUAGAACACCAAUUGCGAAGGCAGCUUGCUAAACAAAUAUUGACGCUGAGGCACGAAAGCGUGGGGAUCAAACAGGAUUAGAUACCCUGGUAGUCCACGCCCUAAACGAUGAUUACUCGACAUACGCGAUACACAGUGUGUGUCUGAGCGAAAGCAUUAAGUAAUCCACCUGGGAAGUACGACCGCAAGGUUG